GAUGAACGACUGGCGGCGUGCCUAACACAUGCAAGUCGAAUGAAGCAAUCGGAGGAAGUUUUCGGUAUGGAAUCUGAUUGACUGAGUGGCGGACGGGUGAGUAACGCGUGGAUAACCUGCCUCACACUGGGGAUAACAGUUAGAAAUGACUGCUAAUACCGCAUAAGCGCACGCUACCGCAUGGUAGAGUGUGAAAAACUCCGGUGGUGUGAGAUGGAUCCGCGUCUGAUUAGCCAGUUGGCGGGGUAACGGCCCACCAAAGCGACGAUCAGUAGCCGACCUGAGAGGUGACGGCCACAUUGGGACUGAGACACGGCCCAAACUCCUACGGGAGGCAGCAGUGGGGAAUAUUGCACAAAUGGGCGAAAGCCUGAUGCAGCGACGCCGCGUGAGUGAAGAAGUAUUUCGGUAUGUAAAGCUCUAUCAGCAGGGAAGAAAAUGACGGUACCUGACUAAAGAAGCCCGGCUAACUACGUGCCAGCAG
rnacentral:rRNA from 1 species